UCGGGUUUUUAUAUCUGGUUUUCUAAAAAAAUAAAUUUAAUUUAAAUUAAAAAUAUUAUUUAUUUUUAAUUAUAGAAAAUUAAGGUAGAUCUUAAUUUUCAAAAAAGAAUUAUUUAUAGGAUUUAAAAUUUUUAUCUAUUUAAAUAGGCUUUAAUAGUAGUCAUUUUAUUAAAGUGUUUUAACUAAAUUCACCAAAAUAUUAUUAUUUAUUAAUCCUUAAUCUAGGUAUUAGAAAAUUAAUUUUAAUAAUACAAAUUAAGUUACUAUGAAAUUAUUAGUAAAAUUUUAUAUAAGUUUAUUUACAAAAUUUUAUAAUAAAAAUUUUAUUAUAAUAAAAUUUUACUUAAAGAACUCGGCAAAUAAAUAUUCUCGCCUGUUUAACAAAAACAUCUCCAAAUGAAUAAAUAUUUGGUAUAACCUGCCCACUGAAUUUAUUAAAGGGCCGCGGUAAUUCUAACUGUGCCAAGGUAGCAU
rnacentral:rRNA from 1 species